GAUGAACGCUAGCGGCAGGCUUAAUACAUGCAAGUCGUGGGGCAGCAGGGGUAGCAAUACCCGCUGGCGACCGGCAAACGGGUGCGGAACACGUACGCAACCCUCCUUUAACUGGAGAAUAGCCCCUCGAAAGAGGGAUUAAUACUCCGUAACAUAUAGCUGUGGCAUCACAAUUAUAUUAUAGCUCCGGCGGUUAAAGAUAGGGCGUGCGCCUGAUUAGAUAGUUGGCAGGGUAACGGCCUACCAAGUCUGCGAUCAGUAACUGGUGUGAGAGCACGACCAGUCACACGGGCACUGAGACGACGGGCCCGACUCCUACGGGAGGCAGCAAGUAAGGAAUAUUGGUACAAUGGACGCAAGUCUGAACCAG
rnacentral:rRNA from 1 species